CUGACCGUGCCUGAGUAAGCCCCAUGGGAACACAGCCGUGGUGGGAAGCAGCUUCCCAGCAGCCCUCCCCGCCAUCGGGAGAAUCCCCUGAGGCCAUGAGAGGGUCUCAGGGAGGUGGACGGCCCAUCAAGUGAGAACCGAGGGCACUGUGCACUCCUGAAUCCUAGGACUCCUCUUAGGUCAUUGACUAACAACAUCAACAAUGAAAUGAAUCUGAGAAAACAGGAAAUUGAGAGCAAGAGAAAAAAAAGUUAAUUAUACUGAUUUUGUAUAAGACCCCUUUGAACACAUUUUUAAAAAAUCAAAUAGAAGGUGCCCAGGUCCACUGUGCCUUGUGAAUAUUUGUCUUGUAUAUCCUAGAGAUCUACGCAUUCAUGUGGGAAUUGAAAAGGACCCACAUUUUACUAGAAGCAUCGUUCAUUUUUGCCUCAAAACAAUGCCCACAUGUCAGAAGAACUUUCACAAUUCACAGGAACAGUGACCUAAUUAACCAACCAUAAAAUUGCCAAAUCCCUACUUCUCAUUGUUUAAUAUGCUUAGAAAACCCAUUCAAAUUGUGAAUUAUCAAGUGAGCUUACACUGAUAAAUAGAUCCAAUAUUUAGGAAUUUUUAAAUCUUCCAUUCCUUUUUUUUUUUUGUCUUUUUAAAAAUAGAACAUUAGAAUAUGUCCUCCAGGUUUUAGAGAUGGGGGAGACAUGCUUCCCUUUAUUUCUCAGUAACUCAGCCAAAAAAAAUCUGGAGAGAAUGCAAAGACAGCUACUGGAAACUUUGAAAAGUAGAUGUGAGCCCAUCAGGGAAGAGCUAGAGAAUCUGAAAUCUACUCGAAAAAGUGAGUUUGAUACUUUGUGUUCCUAUCCUAACUCCACACAGCCUGAAACUUGGAAGUGAGCAUGAUGGAGUGGAUACAGUGAGAUGCAGAAGAAAUCCUCCAGUUUGGGCUGGAAGGGAAAAAAGAGACCCCUAAAACUCAGAGACAGUGGAAGAAAUUCCUGGUGUUUUUUUCUUCUCUUUUUCUCUGUUCUUCCACAUAGCAAUUUAGUAUUGACUACAGCAUCUCUGUUACAAUGAUAGCACCGAAAUGUUGUAACCAUAUGGCCUGCAAAGCCAAAAAUACUUAUCUGACCAUCUACAGGAAAAGUUUGCUGAUCUGGAUGAAAUAUUCUGAUACUAAAUAUUCCAUUUUGAGGCUGAUAUUCCUAAUCUAUUCAUAAGGAUGGCAUAUCUACCCAGUGGGCCUGCUGGGACUCCAGUUACCCGAUGCACAUACAUUGCUUGGUGUGGCAGUUUCGUGUGCAUUUUUGGUGAUGAUGCUCCACGGAACAUCUGCAGAUGUGCUGUCAAUUUGGACAGCUCUGACUACCGAGUGAAUGGGAAGUACUAACGAGAACUGUCUGCUUGGGAACUCCAUGAAGUUCGUGGCUUUUGUGAUUGAAAUAGCAUCAAUAAAAGGUUGACACUGUGGAACAACACAAGCCUGCAUGGACCUGGUUAUCUCUGACCUCGCACCACUCAUGAGACCAUACCUGAGCCCUACUCCACUUUGGCAGAACUGUUGCAUGGCCUCUCUUCAUAUAAUACCUCUCCGUACACCGUACACCGCAGCUCAAAGAAAGGAUAUAUGCUCCCUGUGAAGACUAAUGGAACUGUCCCUCCUGAUCCUCCUACAGACUUCCUCUGGCCUAAUGGGUGCACCAUUGCAUUAUAUCUGCCAUCUAUACACACAUAUACCUUUCAACCCUGCACUCUCUGAGAUGACUGGACUCAUGCCUAAAUAACUGAUGCUGUCCCUAGUGUAAGGAAGCUGCCUGACGAGGAGCUGUACGGAAAUAAGAGUAAUUCAGUGAUGGGGUCCAAGCAUCCUGAAUAUAAGCGGUCCAUGUCAAGAAAGAGCCAAAGGGCGUCCUCAGGACAUGGAAGAGGGGCAUUCCAGGCUGGCAGCUGGGGAGGCCCAGAGAGCCCUGGAGAAGAUCUGAAGUCCAUUGCAGAGCUUUCUUU
rnacentral:lncRNA from 1 species